UCUCCGUUGGUGAACCAGCGGAGGGAUCAUUACAGGACUCGCAAGACCCCUACAACCCUGUGAACUUAACUAUAAGCACGUUGCUUCGGCGGGUGUCUCGAGGGGGGUUCUCCCUCCCCGAGACGCUAAACCCGCCGGCAGCCUACUAUACUCUGUCUCUUUGCGUUGGCAUCUCGAGUACAAUCAAACAAGUUAAAACUUUCAACAACGGAUCUCUUGGUUCUG
rnacentral:misc_RNA from 1 species